ensembl:lncRNA
UUUACUACUGCUCUGUAAUACUGCUUGGGGUCAGGGAUGGUGAUUCUCCCAGAGGUUCUUUUAUUGUUGAGUAUAGUUUUCACUCUCCUGGUUUUUUUGUUAUUCCAAAUGAAUUUUCUAAUUGCUCUUUCUAUCUCCAUGAAGAAUUGAGUUGGAAUUUUGAUAGAGAUUGCAUUGAAUCUCUAGAUUGCUCUUGGCAAAAUUGCCAUUUUUACUAUCUUAAUCCUGCCAGUCCAUGAGCAUGGGGAGGUCUCUCCGUUUUCUGAGAUCUUAUAAAUUUCUUUCUUCAGAGACUUGAAGUUAUUAUCAUGCAGAUUUUCACUUGCUUGGUUAAAGUCACAUUGAGAUCUUUUACAUUAUUUGGGACUAUUCUGCAAGGUGUCAUUUCUCAGCCUUUUUUUCCAUUGAGUAGGGGAAGGUCACUGAUUUGUUUGAGUGAAUAUUAUACACAUCCCCAUUCCUGAUGUUGUUUUUCAGGCUUAGUAGUUCUCUGGGGGGAACUUUUGUCAUCACUUAAAUAUACUAUCAUAUCAUCAACAAAUAGUAAUAUUUUGACUUCUUCCUUUCCAAUUUGUAUCCCUUUGACUUCCCUUUUUUGUCUGAUUGCUCUGACAAGGACAUUGAGUACUAUACUGAAUAAGUAGGGAGAGAGUGGGAAUCCUUUUCUAGUCCCUAAUAUUAGUGGGACUGCUUCAGGUUUUUCUCAUUUAGUUUGAUGUUAACUAUUGGUUUGCUGUAUAUUGCUUUUACUAUGCUUAGUAGGUAUGGGCCUUGAAUUCCUGAUCUUUCCAGGACUUUUGUCAUGAAUGGGUGAUGAAUUUUGUCACGUGCUUUCUCAGCAUCUAAUGAAGUGAUCAUGUGGUCUUUAUCUUUGAGUUUUUUUAUGUAGUGAAUUAUGUUGAUAAAUUUCUGUAUAUUUACCCAUCCCUGCAUACAUGGUAUGAGGCCUACUUGAUCAUGAUGUAUGACUGUUUUGAUGUGUUCUUGGAUUCUGUUUCUAAGAAUUUUAUUGAGUAUUUUUGCAACAAUAUUCACAAGGGAAAUUGGUCUUUGUUGGGUCUUCGUGUGAUUUAGGUAUAAGAGUAAUUGUGGCUUUGUAGAAGGAAAUUUGUAGUCCUCUGUUUCUAUUUUGUGGAAUAGUUUGGACUGUAUUGAAAAGAGAUCUUCUAUGAAUGUCUGAUAAAAUUCUGCAUUAAACCCAUCUGGUUCUGGGCUCUUUUUAGUUGGAAAUUUUUAAUAACUGCUUCUAUUUCUUUAGGAGUUUUGGGGGUGUUUAGAUCCUUUAUCUCUUCCUCAGUUAAUUUUGGUACCUGAUGUUUGUCUAGAAAAUUGUCCAUGUCCUCCAUAUUUUCAAGUUUUGUUGUAUAUAGGCUUUUGUAUUAGGAUCUGAUGAUUUUUUCAAUUUCCACAAGUUCUGUUGUUAUGUCUCCCUUUUCAUUUCUGAUUCUGUUAAUUUAGAAACAUGCUCUGUACCCCCUGUGGUUAGUCUGGCUAACAGUUUAUCUAUCGUGUUGAUUUUCUCAAAAAACCAGCUCCUGGUUUGUUGAUUCUUUGUAUAGUUCUUUUUGUUUCUAUUUCGUUGAUUUUAGCCCUGAGUUUGAUUAUUUCCUGCCUUCUACUCUUUUAGGGUGUAUUUGGUUCUUUUUGUUCUAGAUCAUUUAGGUGUGUUGUCAAGCUGCUCACUCAUUUCUUUUUGGAGGUACUCAGAGCUCUGAGUUAUCCUCUUAGCACUGCUUUCAUUGUGUCCCAUAAGUUUGGAUAUGUUGUAUCUUCAUUUUAAUUAAAUUCUAAAAAGUCUUUAAUUUCUUCCUUGACCAAGUUAUCAUUGAAUAGACUGUUGUUCAACUUCCAUGUAUAUGUGGUCAUUCUGUUGUUAUUGUUAUUGAAGACCAGCCUUAGUCCAUUGUGAUCUAAUAGGAUGCAUGGGAUUAUUUCAAUCUUCCUGUAUCUGUUGAGGCCUAUUUUGUGACCGACUGGAUGGUCAAUUUUAGGGAAGGAACCAUGAGGUACUGAGAAGAAGUUUUAUCUUUUUGUUUUAGCGUGAUAUAUUCUACAAAUAUUUGUUAAGUCCGUUUGGUUCAUAACUUCUGUCAGUUUCCCUAUGUUCCUGUUUAAUUUCUGUUUCCAUGAUAUGUCCAUUGAUGAGAGUGUGUUGUUGAAAACUGCUACUAUUAGUUUGUGAGGUGUAAUGUGUGAUUUGAGCUUUAGUAAUGUUUCUGUUAUAAAUGUAGGUGCCCUUGCAUUUGGAUCAUAGAUAUUUACGAUUGAGAGUUCAUCUUGAUGUAUUUUUCAUUUGAUGAAUAUGAAGUGUCAUUCCUUAUCUCUUUUAAUGACUUUUGGUUGAUUUUAUUUGAUAUUAGAAUGACUACUCCAGCUUGUUUCUUGGGCCUAUUUGCUUGGAAAAUUGUUUUACAGCCUUUUACUCUGAAGUUGCAUCUGUCUUUGUCUCUCAGGUGUGUUUCUUGUAUGCAGCAAAAUACUGGGUCCUCUUUAUGUAUCC